GGUUUUUUUUCCUCUUAACAAGCAUCGAGAAUAAUAGUUUUUUAUAGAUAUAUAUAAAAAAAAGAGAGAGCUUAGAGAAAAAAGUUUUCCCAACUUCUCAUUCCGCCUUCAGUUCCAGACUUCAGAGUCACCGUGAUCAGCGACCUUUUUCCGGACAGUUUUUCCCAUUGAUAGUCGCAGCAAACGGAGCUACAAGGUGGAAACCUUAAAGUCAAAGAUGUACUCUGAAUUUCACUGAAAGCAUCAUGAUCCCAAGCAUUAAAGAUCCAACACUACUGUAAUUUCCACAUGACAAUUACAAUUUGAGGAUGUGUCUUCAGAGUCAAGUGGACAUAGAAAGUGGAUUACUGGUAGCAAAAGACAGCUUAUGAUGUAAACACUCAGUGAUGACUUUGCGGGUCAAUAAAAAUAUUUAUGUCACCUGUUUUAA